rnacentral:rRNA from 1 species
GAGUUUGAUCUUGGCUCAGGAUGAACGCUGGCGGCGUGCUUAACACAUGCAAGUCGAACGGAGAGCGUAUGACAGAGGAUUCGUCCAAUGGAUUACGUUUCUUAGUGGCGGACGGGUGAGUAACGCGUGAGGAACCUGCCUUGGAGUGGGGAAUAACAGUUGGAAACAGCUGCUAAUACCGCAUAAUGCAGUUGAGUCGCAUGACUCUGACUGCCAAAGAUUUAUCGCUCUGAGAUGGCCUCGCGUCUGAUUAGCUAGUUGGCGGGUAACGGCCCACCAAGGCGACGAUCAGUAGCCGGACUGAGAGGUUGGCCGGCCACAUUGGGACUGAGACACGGCCCAGACUCCUACGGGAGGCAGCAGUGGGGAAUAUUGGGCAAUGGGCGCAAGCCUGACCCAGCAACGCCGCGUGAAGGAAGAAGGCUUUCGGGUUGUAAACUUCUUUUGUCAGGGACGAAGCAAGUGACGGUACCUGACGAAUAAGCUCCGGCUAACUACGUGCCAGCA